CCAGACUCCUACGGGAGGCAGCAGUGAGGAAUAUUGGUCAAUGGUCGGGAGACUGAACCAGCCAAGCCGCGUGAGGGAUGAAGGUACAGAGUAUCGUAAACCUCUUUUGUCAGGGAACAAAGGCGGGGACGCGUCCCCGGAUGAGUGUACCUGAAGAAAAAGCAUCGGCUAACUCCGUGCCAGCAGCCGCGGUAAUACGGAGGAUGCGAGCGUUAUCCGGAUUUAUUAGGUUUAAAGGGUGCGUAGGCGGAAUGCCAAGUCAGGGGUAAAAUCGCGGGGCUCAACCUCGCUCCGCCGUUGAAACUGGGUGCCUUGAGUGGGCGAGAAGUAUGCGGAAUGCGCGGUGUAGCGGUGAAAUGCAUAGAUAUCGCGCAGAACUCCGAUUGCGAAGGCAGCAUGCCGGCGCCACACUGACGCUGAGGCACGAAAGCGUGGGUAUCGAACAGGAUUAGAUACCCUAGUAGU
rnacentral:rRNA from 1 species